rnacentral:tRNA from 1 species
GCGGGUGUAGUUCAGUGGUAGAACACUAGCCUUCCAAGCUGGUUGCGAGGGUCCGAUUCCCUUCACCCGCUCCA